ACAAGUUAAGUAGUCGCUUCUUUGGGGGAUACUAGAUGCGGGGUCUGGGCGCACCUCCGGAAAGGACAAGGGCGGGAGGGAGAGGUGGGACAGCAGACGUCACUUCCUCCGUCGGCUCCCCCAGCGGGUUGGUAGGCUGAGUGGCGGAGGGUGGGGCGGAAGAGCAGAAGGAGACUGGGAAAGGCACUGUCGGUGACAUCACCGAUAGGGCGUUUCUAUGUAGAUGAGGCAGCGCAGGGGCUGCUGCUUCGCCACGAAGGAUUUCCCGCGCUGUAGGAGCAAGUCCAGGACCACUGGCUGGACAUGAGAGUCCCAGCUGUGUGUUAGGGCUAGGAGGGCUCGGGGUGGUUGGGGAUUGGCUGGAGUGGUGCUGGGGCAAGUGACUGUGCGUUUAAAGGGUGAGGCGUAUGGAGCUGUGGCGGGGCGGAGAUAGGUGCAAUCUUAUUUAUGUGGCAGGGCAGAUAUUGUGGUUACUGAAAUGGCUUUUAAACCCGACUCAACUAUUUCAUUUCAAGUGUGCUGUUCUGUCAUUUUCUCUAACGUGGGAAGCUCAGCUGCGUAACUUGUAGUAACGAAGCGGAAGUUACAACGAAAAGACAAGUUUUCCUGUGCUUCGCAGGCCCCCCCUCCCCCCCCACCAAGGCCUGCAGUGGAUAGAGCCUAGCAGAUCCUGGACAAUACUAUCCUAAAAGCUACAUCUCUGACAGUGAUUUCCAGCGACUUUGUCAACACGGUCCGCCCCCAGCAAGUAUAAGAGGAAAAACAACAAAUGUCUUUACUGCCUUGUCUUUCCCCCUUGCCACUUGUCAUUAUUCAAGUUUUGUAAGUUCCUGAUUUCCAUUCAGUGCAGCUGCAAGGUUACCAGCUGUGCUUGCGUUGCAAGACCUGUCACAGUUUGAUUAACUGCCUUCUUUCUGCUUCUGUAAGCCCUCUUGCCUGCCCCGCGAGUUUCGCACCAUCAAAUUCCUGCUGCACCAUUCAAACUAGCCAACCCCCUUUCAGAAGUGUGUAUAAAAGUCAAGCCCCCUGUCUUUCUUCGGGGCUCACGCUAGGCCCGAGUGCACUCAAUAAAAUCCUUCUGUUCCACCCGUUGGUCUCUUUGUUCUCCUGAUUCCCGCAACAGUAGUAGGGGACUGCGUUCGUGCUUUCCCCUGGUCUUUCAUGGUAUGAAUAAUAGACAGCAUUUGCUUUUUUCAUCUAUAGUCGCAGGCCCGGUCUCAGUGAUUGUAUGGUGUGGUCAGCUGUUUUUGUUUUUGUGAGACCUUAUUUUCUUGUUUACUGUCCUGGGACAGAUGUCUGUAGUCACUUGUUUCCUCAGGAGGCAAAUUUCAGUCUCUGUGGGGGAGGUCUCUCAUGUUAGCUGUGGUGGUACUUGGCGGGCAGAGCUCAGGGAUCUAGGCUUCCCUGCUUUGUAGAUUGCUCAGUGGUCCCCAAGGCCUACUGGCUUUUAACACCACUUGAAAACCUUAGUGUUUUUCCAUUGUCCCCAGAGUCACCUCUUACAGAGCCUCUUUUUUUUGUUUGUAUUUUUCCCUGAGACAGAGUCUCACUGUAUCUGGUGGGAUCUUGGUUCAAGCGAUCCUCCCACCUCAGCCUCUGGAGUAGCACAGGCACGAGCCAUCGCAGCCGGCUAAUUUCUGUUCUUGUUUUGUUGUUGUUGUUGUUGUUUUGUUUUUUUAAGAGUUGAAGUUUCGCCAUGUUGCCCAGGUUGGUCUCCAAUUCCUGGACUCAAGUGAUCUGCCCUGCCUUGGCCUUCUAAACUGCUGGGAUUACACGUAUGAUCCAUCACACCUGGCUAGCCCCUGCUUUUCCCUAUAGCAUUCAUGGGAGUUUGUAGGAUUUCUGUGCUGGGGGGAACAUGUACUCAGCUCAUAGAACCAAGUAGAAAUUGUACUUGGAACUGGUGCCAUUGGGUUGUAGACAUAACACGCUUGCUCUUUGUAUGGAAAGG
rnacentral:lncRNA from 1 species